UCGGGAAUUUUGGGCAAUGGGCGAAAGCCUGACCCAGCAACGCCGCGUGAAGGAUGAAGUAUUUCGGUAUGUAAACUUCGUAAGAAUAGGAAGAAUAAAUGACGGUACUAUUUGUAAGGUCCGGCUAACUACGUGCCAGCAGCCGCGGUAAUACGUAGGGACCAGGCGUUGUUCGGAUUUACUGGGCGUAAAGGGCGCGUAGGCGGUUUGUCAAGUCAGUUGUGAAAUCUCCGAGCUUAACUCGGAACGGUCAACUGAUACUGUCAAACUAGAGUACAGAAGGGGCAAUCGGAAUUCUUGGUGUAGCGGUGAAAUGCGUAGAUAUCAAGAGGAACACCUGAGGCGAAGGCGGGUUGCUGGGCUGAUACUGACGCUGAAGCGCGAAAGCUAGGGUAGCAAACGGGAUUAGAUACCCGAGUAGUCCCUGAGCGGGCUGGCAAGGCGCAU
rnacentral:rRNA from 1 species